UACGAAGGGGGCUAGCGUUGCUCGGAAUCACUGGGCGUAAAGGGUGCGUAGGCGGGUCUUUAAGGCAGGGGUGAAAUCCUGGAGCUCAACUCCAGAACUGCCUUUGAUACUGAAGAUCUUGAGUUCGGGAGAGGUGAGUGGAACUGCGAGUGUAGAGGUGAAAUUCGUAGAUAUUCGCAAGAACACCAGUGGCGAAGGCGGCUCACUGGCCCGAUACUGACGCUGAGUGAGCGAAAGCCAGGGGAGCAAACGGG
rnacentral:rRNA from 1 species